GAUCCUGCCGGACCCGACUGCUAUCGGCAUGGGAUUAAGCCAUGCGAGUCAAGCGUCUUCCGGCUGUGGAAGGCGCGGCGUACGGCUCAGUAGCACGUAGUCAACCUAACUUGAAGACGUGAACAAUCCCGGGAAACUGGGGCUAAUUCACGAUAGAUUCAAGGUUCUGGAAUGGCCUUGAGUCCAAAGGGCUGGAGGAGCAUGCUUCUUCAGUCGCUUCAAGAUGGGACUGCGGCCGAUCAGGUUGUUGGCGGGGUAAUGGCCCACCAAGCCUAUAACCGGUGCGGGCUCUGAGAGGAGGAGCCCGGAGAUGGACACUGAGACAAGGGUCCAGGCCCUACGGGGCGCAGCAGGCGCGAAACCUUCACAAUGCGCGAAAGCGCGAUGAGGCUAUACCGAGUGUCACCCGCUGAGGGUGUCUUUUCCUUGAUGCAAAAAAUCAAGGGAAUAAGGGGAGGGCAAGCCUGGUGUCAGCCGCCGCGGUAAUACCAGCUCCCCGAGUGGUCGGGACGAUUAUUGGGCCUAAAGCAUCCGUAGCCGGCUUCACAGGUCUCUUGUUAAAUCCAACGGCCCAACCGUUGGACUGCAGUAGAUACCAUGGAGCUAGGGGGCGGGAGAGGCGGACGGUACUCCAUGGGUAGGGGUAAAAUCCUUUGAUCCAUGGAAGACCACCAGUGGCGAAGGCGGUCCGCUAGAACGCGCCCGACGGUGAGGGAUGAAAGCUGGGGGAGCGAACCGGAUUAGAUACCCGGGUAGUCCCAGCUGUAAACGAUGCAGGCUAGGUGAUAGGAAGGCUAUUACGCCUCCCUAGUGCCGCAGGGAAGCCGAUAAGCCUGCCGCCUGGGGAGUACGGCCGCAAGGCUGAAACUUAAAG
rnacentral:rRNA from 1 species